GUCAUGAAAUUGAAUUAUGUCUCAAAGUUGAUUGUUUUAGGUGUGUAAUUUUGAUUAUCAACAGGGGAGGACUUGAAGGACGUGAAAAGGACUGUAAUACACAAAAUUGGUGAGUGCUUAGGAGAAAAAAGUCUAGCUGGAAAAUAUCUACGCCGCCGUAUAAUUCAACAGCGCAUCUUUAAUUUAGCUUUAUUAAGCAGUCAUGCUCUCAAUUGGGGUACAUGUAAUAAGAGAACAUGUUUUUGUGACUAGCCGUAAAUUUGGAUAAUAAUAGGUUAGGUUUCUUGUCUGGAAAUAUGCACAAAUCAAAGCAUGCAAAACAUGCUACAGAAUAACACUUAAUUUUAACUUCUAAGUUUCCACCAAAUUGAUGUGAAAUAUUAAUAUCAUACUUUGUUUAACAUUCAAGCUUCCAAACAAAUUGAAGUGCUUGCCUUAGAAUUUACUUUAUGUAAUAGAAAGGGCAUUCAAAUGCAUUUUUGGUUCGAUAACAUUUACUUAUUGUAGUUUGGAGCUUGCUUUCUAUACUUUAACUGAUUUUAUUCAUGGAUUCAUUAUGGUAGAUUGGUAAAAUGCCUUUUAUCGAUAACAAGCUUUAUCCGAUAAAAGCAGUUAAGUUGGUGUUGCAGGAACAUUGAUUAAAACUGAAAAGAAAAGCAAGAUAAUCUCUUGCAUUUGAGAAAUUUAGGGAACAACUUGUUUCAGAUGGCAAUGGAAAUUAAUUGGAUUUAUGGCUGUCUACACAAGUUUCUUAACACGCUAAAAAUUUGUUGACAUCCAUGUAUCAAUCAAGUUUGGUUAUCUACGUAGUUAACCUCUGUUUCAAUCUAAUUUGUAGGGAAGAUUCUGGUGAUCGAGGACAGGCUUCUAUUGAUGCCACAUCCUGUAAUGGUCGGGAGAUGUGUUCUUUACAUUGAUUCCUUCGAGCAGAGAAACUCUCCUUCCAAAUUAUGUGAAAAUUACUAUGAUAUGAUAGCUGAUGCUGAAUACGGAAUAGAGUUAGCAGAAAUUAAUGGCUUGAAAAUCGACAUUCAGCAAUUUUGACGAGUUUCUCAUUGAUAAUUUCUGUGUAGUUUUAGUUCUGGAUAUGACUGAACAUGUCAAAAAACAAGAACUCUUGGAAAGCAUGUACCUUAAAAAAUGUUUUUGAAAAAGCCUAAAUUUGGAAUAUGUUUGGGAGUUCUCAAUUGGGAUAUUGCAUAUCUUCUUAAGAUAAAGAGUGCUGAUCGCCAAUAUAUGUAAAAACUAGUGUACGGACACAAAUGGUUACAAAAUGAAUCUGAAUUUGAAAUUUACUCUUUUUAUUUAAUAUUGUCUAGUACUGGCGAAUGUUCACGUGCUUAUAGCCCUAUUUAAAUUAAUUUUUUUGUGAAGUGGGGGUCUGUUUGAAUAGUAUUUGAUGGCUA
rnacentral:lncRNA from 1 species